rnacentral:rRNA from 1 species
AGAGUUUGAUCCUGGCUCAGGACUAACGCUGGCGGCGUGCCUAACACAUGCAAGUCGAGCGGACACCACUUUGUAGCAAUACAGAUGAAGUGUUAGCGGCAGACGGGUGAGUAACACGUAGUCAACCUGCCUUACCGUCCGGGAUAACUAGCCGAAAGGUUAGCUAAUACCUGAUACGAUCAUCGAGCGGCAUCGUUUGA